CAGACAAAUAAGAAACUUUGUUUCUCUUUCUAUUUUUUGCAUUAAGGAAGUAAGGUGAAGACUCCUCAUUCUCUGGAACCCUCCCUUGCAUUUCACCAUUUUCCCAACUCUCCUCACCUUUACUUUUUGAUAGCUUUCUGCCCACCUUUAGUGAAGAUGAGGGGAACUGAAGAGCAGCCAGGUAGCUAAUGAGGUUUGAAACACAGGUUUCAGAAAAAUUGUGUGAAGUGCCAAGUAUUGAAUUAACUUACUGAGGAAAUAAUUAGGAAAGGUGAUGAAGACUACGUAGAAAAUGACUAGAAGUCCAGUGCUUUUCUGUCAACUCUCAAGACGGAGUUUCCCUCUUGUUGCCCAGGCUAGAGUGCAAUGGUCCGAUUUCAGCUCACCACAACCUCCACCUCCUGGGUUCCAGCAAUUCUCCUGCCUCAGCCUCUCAAGCACCUAGGACUAUCGGAGUCUGCAAUGAUGCCGGCUAAUUUUACUAUGGAAAUGAUGUUAGACAAAAAGCAAAUUUGAGUGAUUUUCUUACUCAAGUUCAAAAUGGGUCGUAAGGCAGCGGAGCCAAAUUGCAACAUCAACAAUCCAUUUGGCCCAGGAACUGCUAAUGAACAUACAGUGCAGUAGUGGUUCAAGAAGUUUUUCAAAGAAGAUGGGAGCCUUGGAAAUGAGGAGCAUAGUGGCUGGCCAUCAGAAGUUGACAAUGACCAACUGAAAGCAAUCAUUGAAGUUGAUCCUAUUACAACUACAUGAAAAGUUGUUGAAAUACUCAAUGUCCACCAUUCUACUGUCAUUCAACAUUUGAAGCAAAUUGGAAAGAUAAAAAGUUUUAAUCCCAAAGCAUGUAUUUUUAUGCUACAGAAAUAAACAAACUUACUUCUCCUUGGAAAAAUAUGUUGAUUGUAAUUCUUAUCUUAGCUUUUGCUAAGAUUUGAGUAUUUAUCCUCUCUAAAACUCACUUAAUCUUCAAUGUGGUGGGAAUGAAAGUUGGGGCUUUUAAGAGGCUAUUGGUUCAUGAGGGCUCUCAUGAAUGGGUUAAUCCAUUUGUGGAUUAAUGAGUUAAUGGUUUAAUGGGUUAUCAUCGGAGGAAAACUGGUGGCUUUAUAUGAAAAGAAAGACCUCAGUUAGCACGCAAGCAAACUCUGCUCAUCUGCCAUGGGAUACACUGCACUGCUUCAGGAUGCGGCCCCUUGAAAUUAGCCUUCAUAACAGUAAGA
rnacentral:lncRNA from 1 species